rnacentral:rRNA from 1 species
GAUGAACGCUGGCGGCGUGCCUAAUACAUGCAAGUCGAGCGAACAGACGAUGAUCUUGCUCCUUUGACGUUAGCCGCGCGCGUGUGAGUAACACGUGGAUCACCUACUUAUAAUACGGGUAUCUCUUGGGAAAACCGGAUCUAAUACCGUAGAAUAUAUUGAACCGCGUGGGGCAAUAGAGAAAUACGGUUUUGCGGUCACUUAUAGAUGCAUCCGGGCCGCAUGAGGUAGUUGGUAAGGUAACGGCUUAUCAAGGCAACGAUGCGUAGCCGAACUGAGAGGCUGGUAGCCCACAUUGGAACUGAGACAGGGUCAAGAGUACUAAGGGAGGCAGCAGUAGGGUAUCUUACGCAACGGGCGAGAGCCUGACGGAGCAACCGCGCGUGAGUGACGAAGGUCUCGGGAUCGUAAAGAUCUGUUAUGAGGGAAGAACAACUGUGUAAGUAACUAUGCACGUAUUGACGGUACCUGAUAAGAAAGCAACGGCUAACUACGUG